UGGGGAAUAUUGCACAAUGGGCGAAAGCCUGAUGCAGCGACGCCGCGUGGGGGAUGAAGGCCUUCGGGUUGUAAACCCCUUUCAGCAGGGAAGAAGCGAAAGUGACGGUACCUGCAGAAGAAGCGCCGGCUAACUACGUGCCAGCAGCCGCGGUAAUACGUAGGGCGCAAGCGUUGUCCGGAAUUAUUGGGCGUAAAGAGCUCGUAGGUGGUUUGUCGCGUCUGCUGUGAAAACCCGAGGCUCAACCUCGGGCCUGCAGUGGGUACGGGCAGACUAGAGUGCGGUAGGGGAGAUUGGAAUUCCUGGUGUAGCGGUGGAAUGCGCAGAUAUCAGGAGGAACACCGAUGGCGAAGGCAGAUCUCUGGGCCGUAACUGACGCUGAGGAGCGAAAGCAUGGGGAGCGAACA
rnacentral:rRNA from 1 species